rnacentral:rRNA from 1 species
GUGGGCCCUCGAAGUCCACGCGGAGAGGGAUUCAGUCUCUCGGAGCGGGGGACCGUUUCGCAUGGACGCCACGGGGGCGCCGUGCGGGACGAGUUAUUCCGAGCCGGGGGACGCACUUCCCUCUCCCGAAGGACGCCGCAGCCUCUCGGCGUUCGGCAGUGAGGGACCGAAGGCAGGUGGCGUGGACGUCGGCCGAGAGCCGGCGCCCCGUGUCUGGCCCGGUCGCAGACGGCGCGAUCGCCGAGAGAGGGACCGAUCCCGCGACGCGGGACGAGCCGCUGCCUCGCCAUCUCCAGGAAGGAGCGGGGCGGAGCAUCAGGGACGUCGAGUGUUCCGAGCGUCACCGGGCGGUGUCGCCGGACUCGCGGUACCCGCUGGGUCUCCGGAACCGCGGCGCAGCGCACGCGGCUGGCGGCGAGUAGGUCGGUAACCCACCCGACCCGUCUUGAAACACGGACCAAGGAGUCUAACAUGUGCGCGAGUCAGUGGGACUCGAACAAGCCCACGGGCGGAACGAAAGCAAAGUCGCGUCGGGAUCUCCUAUUCCCCUCGGGGAGGAGCGCACCGACAGCCUGGGCGGCCCGUUUCCAACGGGCGUCCGGAGCCAGAGCGCACACGUUGGGACCCGAAAGAUGGUGAACUAUGCCCGGGCAGGUCGAAGUCAGAGGAAACUCUGGUGGAGGACCGCAGCGGUUCUGACGUGCAAAUCGAUCGUCGAACCUAGG